rnacentral:lncRNA from 1 species
UCGAGAUCCUCUGGUGGCGAACAGUAUCGCGAUGCCAAUUUCGCCGGCGAAUUUCCGCCGUUGUGUCUCAGUCAUUAGAAACACAGUGUUCCCAACUGCUCCCGCCCCGCUUCCCUGUUCAGCGCCGACUCCCGGCUCACAGACGGUCAGGACUGUUUCUGCAGUGAGUCGGCACCACUGCUCUGUGCAGCUUCACCCAGAGGGACAGUCAUCAUGGACUGAGCUGCUCAGCGUCUCACAGUGUCCUAGACCAGAGGAGGACAGACCCGCUGUGUCCACUGGAUGAACACUGACCAGUGGUACAGCUCCCUGAAUCUGCUGCCUUCCUCCAGGACAGCUGCUGUGUGAUGGAAUCUGAUUCAGAGGCUCUAGACCAGAGUGUCUCACCACACAGUUAAUCCUCAGCUGCUCUUCACCAGUACAGCGCCUGACUGGGUGAGCUCUCUUGACCUAAUCGAGCAUCUCAAGGACUACUCAAACAUAACCACAAAUAAAUCACAGCACCGAUUUUGCUUUGACAGGUUUAACUGUGUGAUAUUUAAAGAGAGGUGAAAAAUAAAACCAAGAAAUGUCUUUUAAACUGGAUCAUAUCCAUCACUUCCCAAUGAUGUACAAUAAGUGCAUUAUCACUGUGAGCAUCGCUUCACGGCAGUAUAAGAAAUCCAGCUUCAAUAAAAUACAGCACGUGCAACCGAAGAAGAAGUAACUAUAAAGUGCAAAACAUAAAAAUUCAAAUGAACAACAUACACAUAGCCAAAAUGUCUUACUAGUAAAUGGCAAGGUCACAGUUAAGCAACAGUGUGGUUUAAAUAGAUAGAUACUUUACUGAUCCCGUGAGGAUAAUUGCAGUGCAACAGCAGCUUAACACAGACAACACAGACACAGUGUAACGAAUUAUACAAUAAUAAUAAUACAAUAAAUCGGCCAUAUUAGUUAAUUAAUAAUAAUUAACUAAUUAAUUAGCCAUAUAAAUGAGCCACUAUUAGGCACAAUUAAUUAGCCAUAUAAAUCACUGCAAUAAGGACAAGAGCUAAACAAGCAUUAAAGCAGCACACAGGUUAAUAUGACUGAGAAAUGCUUCACUUAAGCCUGUCUCACAAUUUCACUGCAAUAUUCUUUUCAGCACAAGAGAGACGUGACAGAAGCAGCACUUCAGUGAACUGGUGUCUGACUCCAAGGAGCCGGGUGACUGGUACUGUAACACACUGCAGCCUGUCCACAGGAGGACGAGUCCUCAUCCCGGGACA